GCAACGAGUGAAGUUGGAUGGUGCUACAGUACAAGCAGAGGAAAUCCAGAAGGGUUAUUUCCAUUUGUUUUGAGAUCUGUCCCUACAACUCUGCCACACUU